rnacentral:rRNA from 1 species
UUUCCGUAGGUGAACCCGCGGAAGGAUCAUUACAACAAGGUUCCCUGGCCCUCGAAGGCUUCGGCGGAGGGGGCUACAGCCUGACUUUAUACCCACCCUUUGCCUAUGUGUACCCCUAUUGCUUCCCUCGGCGGGUUCGCCCGCCGACAGGAACCAACUAAACCCUUUGCAUUAUACAUUUAACACUUCCGAUACAAAACUAAAUUAUUACAACUUUUAACAAUGGAUCUCUUGGUUCUGGCAUCGAUGAAGAACGCAGCGAAAUGCGAUAAGUAGUGUGAAUUGCAGAAUUCAGUGAAUCAUCGAAUCUUUGAACGCACAUUGCGCCCCUCGGUAUUCCGUGGGGCAUGCCUGUUCGAGCGUCAUUUACACCCUCAAGCUAUGCUUGGUGUUGGGCGUCUGUCCCGCCUUCGUGCGCGGACUCGCCUCAAAGUCAUUGGCAGCGGUCUCGUCGGCUUCUCGCGCAGCACAUUUGCGCUUCUCGGAGCCCCGGCGGAUCAGCGUCCAGCAAGCGAUUUCAUGACUUGACAUCGGAUACAGGUAGGAUACCG